rnacentral:lncRNA from 10 species
CGCGGCAACCGUCCAAAGUACAGGUUCUCAUUGGCUAAAGUCCUAAGUAUGGGUGGAGCAAACUCAAAUGCGUCUUAGCAACCACCGAGUUCCCAUUGAUUGGCUAACCUCAGAGACUCCAGAAAAUGGAAGCGUCCUUUGGUAGCCGCCCAUCACUCUCUCAUUGGUUAAAUGACUUGCGGAGGGCGGGGAAAACGGGACUGAAAACGGGAGUGAAGAAGCCACCAACCCCACUCCUGGUGCUCGCGUAGACUAGACCAGUGCGAUGGGCGGAGCCAACGAGGAGGCACAAUUUACAUCCUUGGCCGUCCCUACUCGGAUUUGCUGAAGGAGUCACGUCGGUCGUUAAGGUUAAGCUUUGUAGAGAACAGCGGCGUUUGUUUAACGUCCGGGGAUGCUGAACUCGAAAUCCCCGUUCUGAGCCGGCUACCUAAACAACCUUCCCGACCACCUCUCCUGACCUCGGUGCUUGGGACCAGGGAAAAGCAGAUCUUGCCACAGACUUGUCUUGGCCCACACUCUGCCCUAUCGUCAUGGCCUGCUCCCACAGGUCAUAACUUCCGUUCAAAUCAGUACCCCCACAUUUCCCACUGCAAGGGUAAAUUUGAAAGUUUCUCAGGUGACUCCUUGGAUGUAGCAGUACUGAGUCCUCUAACCGGAAAGAAGGAACUGAUGUCCACCCUCACUUUCCAGGGGCCUCCAGGAGCCCCUAGACACUUCUGUGGUCUACUGUAGCUACCAAAAAUGUAGCUGGUUAUAACAUGGGGAGAGCCAGAGUCGGAGGACCUGACUUCCAAUUCUGACUUGGAUACUAAUAUCACAUCAUUGUACCCAUUUCAAACUCCCCCUCUGUAAAAUGGAAAAUUGGACUAGAUGAUCUCUUAGGACUUCAAACUGUAACCCUGUGGUUUUAUUCAAAAAAAACAGGUAGCUUCUUGCUGGAGAUUCCUGGAUGGAUUCCAGUCUUCCCAAGAGGUAACAAAGGAGAGGUAACCAGUUGCCCGUGCAGUAGCUCAAGAAUACAGAAGAGAAACUGGCUUCACUCACUAUUCCAUCUUUUUCCAAGGUGGCAAACUCUAUGCCUCCUCCCCAGAGAAAAGCCUAACUGUAGGUUCUAAUGGACAAGAGCUCACUGUAGCUGGUCAGAAAGGCCUAUAUCCAGGACUACAAUAGUCAUUGCUCAGCUUCCUAAGUAGGGAAUACAACUAGGCCCCUUUGGGUCUUGGAUAGGCUAAGAGGACAGAUCUGAACAUGCCUGGGUCUAAGUGAGGUGUGGGAAAA